UACGAAGGGGGCUAGCGUUGCUCGGAAUCACUGGGCGUAAAGCGCACGUAGGCGGCUUCUUAAGUCAGGGGUGAAAUCCUGGAGCUCAACUCCAGAACUGCCUUUGAUACUGAGGAGCUUGAGUCCGGGAGAGGUGAGUGGAACUGCGAGUGUAGAGGUGAAAUUCGUAGAUAUUCGCAAGAACACCAGUGGCGAAGGCGGCUCACUGGCCCGAUACUGACGCUGAGGUGCGAAAGCGUGGGGAGCAAACAGGG
rnacentral:rRNA from 1 species